GAGUUGCACUCGUGCGAAGCGUUAUACUCGAGAGUGGCUGGAGUGUAAAACGUCCAUGCAAGAAUGAGCUGCUCUUGUGUCGCCACUAUGUAGGCGACACUAUUUCGCUCAGUGAAUUCAGAUAUCGUUUUUCAUCGCAUCCAGCGGACGAUGCUGUGAGGUUGCCAUCGUGCUGCUGACACGUUGACAUUCAAGGUUCCCGACAUGCUCUCGAGCUCUCUAACCAUCUUGGAUUGACAAGUCGCAGAAAUUGUCUAGUAAUGUUUCGUCGACGAUUUGCUCAUCGAUCCUUUUAUAUAAGAGGCAUAUACUGGGACGAAGCGUACAAAGCAAAUCCAGAUGUCAAAUACGAGAACGGGGAAUGGAAAACAGAUCAAGCGUACGAGAAAUUAAUCGAGACAGCGUUGUUCCGAAACGUGUUAGAUCGGCCAGCGGGAAAAGAUUAAAAGCAACAAUUUGAAUAAGAAGCUUAACACGGCCGGCACAAUAGUAAUUCCGUGCAAUUUACAUACUUAAGCGCUGGCUGAAACGGGUCACCGCGUCAUUACGUAAAUACUCGAGAGAAAGAGGGUGUUUCACACGGAAAUAGAUAUAAAGAAUCCAUCAUAUCGUUACACAUUCUAAAAGAACUCAAAUUAACAACUUCACUACACAACACACUAACGUUCUAAGCUCAGGUCCGUCGAUAAUACAUUUCCUCAUCAAAAUCUAUAUGCCCAGCUUCGUAACACUUGCAAAGAUGCACCUCUCGACCACGCAGAAUCACCAGGAUAGGAGAUCAAGCAAACAAGGAACAAAGAAGGAAGACAAGUGGCCUAAUAGCGAGUAGAAGCAUGUAU